rnacentral:rRNA from 1 species
CAGCUUGCGUAACGAGAAAGUAGGAGCAAUACCAUGAGUAAAGUGGCGACCGGCGUUGAGUAACACGUGACUAACCUACCUCCGAAUGGGGAAUAACUCCGGGAAACCGGGGCUAAUACCGCAUAACACCGCAAGGUCAAAGCAGCAAUGCGUUUGGAGAGGGGGUCGCGGCUGAUUAGCUAGUUGGCGGGGUAACGGCCCACCAAGGCGAAGAUCGGUAUCCGGCCUGAGAGGGCGCACGGACACACUGGAACUGAAACACGGUCCAGACUCCUACGGGAGGCAGCAGUGGGGACUUUUGCGCAAUGGGGGAAACCCUGACGCAGCAACGCCGCGUGGAGGAUGAAGUCCCUUGGGACGUAAACUCCUUUCGAUCGGGACGAUUAUGACGGUACCGGAAGAAGAAGCCCCGGCUAACUUCGUGCCAGCAGCCGCGGUAAUACGAGGGGGGCGAGCGUUGUUCGGAAUUAUUGGGCGUAAAGGGCGCGUAGGCGGUGCGGUAAGUCACCUGUGAAACCUCUGGGCUCAACUCAGAGCCUGCAGGCGAAACUGCCGUGCUGGAGUGUGGGAGAGGUGCGUGGAAUUCCCGGUGUAGCGGUGAAAUGCGUAGAUAUCGUGAGGAACACCAGAGGCGAAGGCGGCUACCUGGACAAUUGCUGACGCUCAGGCACGAAAGCGUGGGGAGCAAAAGGGAUUAGAUACCCCUGUAGUCCACGCCCUA